CCCUCCCUGCCCGAAGCGGCCCCUGGAGGAGGUCUCCCCGCUCCGGGCCUCAGACUGGAAGAGCACGGCGCCCCAGGCUGCCAUUGUCCCCGUCCCCGGGGGCAAACAAGUGUAGGAAGGAGAAAGCACCGUCCGGAUGGAGCUGAAGGAAGCUGCAGUAAGGUCUUUUGUUAAAAUUGGAAAGCAGUCCUAGGAAGGACGGGGGAAGGACUCUGCCGUGGAAGAAACCAGCAGAGGAUCAAACACGAUGGGCGGAGAAAUGGAGCCCUCCAGUGAAGAGGUCCCCACGCCCCCAGAUGGAGAAACCAGGGACCAGAAAAAAGGGCAGACCAAGGCCACCCAGUGGGACAAUGGCAGAGCCAAGAAUGGAACCCCAAUCCCUGAGGUCUCCCUCUUUGCUUCCCCAGCUCUAUACAUUGUGUAUCAGUCACUGCUGCUGCAUAACAAAUAUUCCUCCAAAGGCAGUGACUUAAAACAACCACCAGCAUUGAAACUGACACAGCACUGUAAACCAACUACACUUUAAUACAAAAAUUU